UAUACUUUGCCGCCGUUGGCCCCUGAGGAAACCGAGUCUUAACCGGGCGUUAAGUUGCAGGGUAUAGACCCGAAACCCGGUGAUCUAGCCAUGGGCAGGUUGAAGGUUGGGUAACACUAACUGGAGGACCGAACCGACUAAUGUUGAAAAAUU
rnacentral:rRNA from 1 species